rnacentral:pre_miRNA from 1 species
UCUUACAGAUGAGCAAAGAAAGUAGUUUCUUGAGAUGGAAUCUACUCCUAGUGAAGAUGCUGUGAA